AGCGAACGCUGGCGGCGUGCUUAACACAUGCAAGUCGAGUGCGCGGUUGUAGCAAUACAACUGGCGCACGGCGCACGGGUGAGUAACACGUGGGCAACCUGCCCUUUGGAUGGGGGAUAACUCGCCGAAAGGCGAGCUAAUACCGCAUGAUAUUCAGAAGACUUCGGUUUUUUGAUUCAAAGCCCGCAAGGGCGUCUAAGGAGGGGCCCGCGCCCGAUUAGCUAGUUGGUGAGGUAACGGCUCACCAAGGCAUUGAUCGGUAGCCGGUCUGAGAGGA
rnacentral:rRNA from 1 species